GGGAAGGUAGCUCAGUGAGAGAGUGCUUGCCUUGUAUGCAUGAGGCCCUGGGUUCGAAUCCUCAGCACCA
rfam:Dipodomys ordii contig_62249, whole genome shotgun sequence.